rnacentral:rRNA from 1 species
UACGUAGGGGCCAAGCGUUGUCCGGAUUUAUUGGGCGUAAAGAGCGUGUAGGCGGCCAGAUAGGUCUGCUGUGAAAACUCGAGGCUCAACCUCGAGAUGUCGGCGGAAACCAUUUGGCUAGAGUCCGGAAGAGGAAAGUGGAAUUCCUGGUGUAGCGGUGAAAUGCGCAGAUAUCAGGAAGAACACCCGUGGCGAAGGCGGCUUUCUGGGACGGUACUGACGCUGAGACGCGAAAGCGUGGGGAGCGAACAGG